AUAAGCGGAGGAAAAGAAACCAACAGGGAUUGCCUCAGUAACGGCGAGUGAAGCGGCAACAGCUCAAAUUUGAAAUCGGGCGCCCGUCCGAGUUGUAAUUUGGAGAGGAUGCUUCCGGGCAGCGGGCCGGUCUAAGUUCCUUGGAACAGGACGUCAGAGAGGGUGAGAAUCCCGUCUGCGACCGGCGGCGCACCCGACCCGUAGCUCCUUCGACGAGUCGAGUUGUUUGGGAAUGCAGCUCAAAAUGGGAGGUAAAUGUCUUCUAAAGCUAAAUACCGGCCAGAGACCGAUAGCGCACAAGUAGAGUGAUCGAAAGAUGAAAAGCACUUUGGAAAGAGAGUCAAACAGCACGUGAAAUUGUUGAAAGGGAAGCGCAUGCCGCCAGACCUGUCGGCGGCGUUCCGCCGGUCUUCUGACCGGUUCACUCGCCGCCCGACAGGCCAGCAUCGUUUGGGCGCGCCGGACAAUGGCGCGGGGAAUGUGGCCCCUCGGGGUGUUUAUAGCCCCGCGCGCGACGCGGCGCCGCCCGAGCGAGGUUCGCGCUUCGGCGAGGAUGCUGGCGUAAUGGCGGCCUGCGGCCCGUCUUGAAACACGGACCAAGGAGUCUAACAUCUAUGCGAGUGUUUGGGUGUCAAACCCCCGACGCGGAAUGAAAGUGAACGGAGGUGGGAACCGGGCGACCCCCGGCGCACCAUCGACCGAUCCGGAUGUUUGUUCGGAAGGAUUUGAGUAAGAGCAUAGCUGUUGGGACCCGAAAGAUGGUGAACUAUGCCUGAAUAGGGUGAAGCCAGAGGAAACUCUGGUGGAGGCUCGCAGCGGUUCUGACGUGCAAAUCGAUCGUCAAAUUUGGGUAUAGGGGCGAAAGACUAAUCGAACCAU
rnacentral:rRNA from 1 species